AAUUGUCAAUCCUAUGAUCAGGAACAUUUAGGAUGUGUCUACGAAAGAAUGGUCUCAUGAAUCUAACUUCAUUAGAUUACAUUCUUCCAAUCACAUAUUCCUUGGACUUUAUCGUUUAAGCAUAUAACAUUUAUAUGAGACCGCUCAAACAAUAAUCUUUGCCCUUUAUAUUAAACCAGAUUAGUUUAACAUGUGAAAUGUCCGUAAAGUAUCAUCACAUGAUUGGUUUUAGGGCACAUUUCCAACACUUCUAGAUGAUUAAAUGUAGUCAUCAAAGAAGAAAGGUGAAUUAAAAUGAAGUUUUUAUUCACUAAGUGAUUGGAUUAAAUAUAAUCAAUUGGAUUGAUGUCAAUCACCUCACUGCCUUGCUAAUUAGAACCUAAAAUGAUUGUACACCGAUACACUCUUGUAGUGAGUAAUUAAUGGAUGAUGGAAAUAAUUAAUUGAAUUAAUUAAGUGUUGUGAUUAAUUUAGAAAGUCUAAAGAAAUCAUAAAAGCGAUAAAAGAUCGUUUUGGGCUUAAAGAAACGUUCGGGUUUAAUUGGGCCCAUUGGGCUUUUAUUCAAGCAUUGGAUGACUAGAAAUAUAUAAAAGCCCAAAGCCCAAACCAACACAAAGUGGCCGGCCCUUGCAAGUGGAAAGAGAGAGAUAUUUAGUCAAGUUGUUGACUAGGUUUCUUUUUGUCUAUAUAAGGAACUUUAUAGAGUUUUAAUCCUUAGGGGUUUUGUGUGUUUUUGAACAACAAAGAGGCAAAAGAAAAUAGCUCUCUAAAACCACAAAGGCCGGCCACCUAGAGGGUGUUUUAGCUAACAAUCUUUCACCCUUUUGGUUAUUCCUCCAUCCAUCUCACUACACUAGUGGGUGUGGAUAUUUAGAGGUCUUCUCCUUUGGAGACUUAAGGAGAACCUUGGAGCACUCUUGCUAACAAAAUGGAGGAGGCAAGGAGGGAGGCUAGGCUCAAGGACUUCAAGGAACAAAGGGCUUGGAGGUGGUCCAUCCUUGGUCUCAAGUCUAGAUCAAGAGGUAUAGGACUAAAACUUUCACUUUGUUCUUUAAUAAAAUGUUUUGAUGCAUUAUAUAUAAACCUAUGAACCUUGAAGGGGAUUUGCAUGACUAUAGCUUUGAUUAUUAUUUGAUAAAUUGCUUCUGUUGCUCAUGUAUAUAAAUUUUGAAUUGUAUAUGCAUGCUAGUCAUUUAGAAAUCCCAUGUAUUAAUCUCAUAAUUUUCCCUUCAACAGCACUGUCAACAAAUGCAUUAGGUGUGCUCUCUGCCAAAUUGGAUGUUUUGAGGGUAGUGGCGUGUUCUUUGUGGUCCACUCCAAUUCCUGAUAGGAGCAUAUUUAUGCGCCUUAGUUAGCUAGUUCUUAUGCAUUUCCAUGGUGUUUUCUUAGUUAAAGUAGUAUUUUAAGCUAGUUUUAUGUGUUUUCAGGUUUUAAGGCCAAAGGAUGCAAGAAGAUGCAUUUUGGAGCUUUUUGGAGCAAAAUUGGGCUUGGAAUGAUUAUCACAUGAUUGGAGCCCAGGUUUGGACGAAUUUGAAGACUUGAAGAUGAUGAUUCCUACUUCAACAAGGUUUCCUAGUUGAAGUAGGAAAGUGCUUACAUGAAGGAGGAUUCCUAAUCGACGAAGGAUUCCUAAUCGACGAAGGAUUCCUAAUCAACGAAGGAUUCCUAAUUGAAGAUGGAUUCCUAAUCACAUGAGGAUUCCUAAUUGAAGAUGGAUUCCUAGAAGAACAAGGAUUCCUCCUCCAACAAGGAUUCCUACUUGAAGUAGGAAAGUUAAGCCAAGGUUUCCUACUUUGGUUUGAUUUUUCCUAAUUGUCCCUAAAAGUUCCAGCAAUUAUGAAGACUUUCUAAGCAUUCUAGGACACAAAACAAAAGCCUAGAACCCUUUUGAACCCUUGCCACACCCCCCUUUGCAUUUCCUCUUCCUUAUUUCCUGUUUUUAUGCUUUAAAACACCUUCCUUUUGUGUUUUAAACCCUAGCCGAAUUUCCCUUGUCCUUUCCUUUAAUUUUCUGAUUUAUUUCCUAAUUCUAGAAUCCUUAGACUUAAUUUCUGAUUUCCUAAUCAACCUAGGGUUUUAAUUUCUGUUUUCCUUUAAAUAAACCUCCUUGUUGCAGCCACAAAACAUUCCACACACAUCCAUACAACUCCAUUCACGCCAGAAACCUUUCCCUCACCUUUGCUGUGCCCAACCUUCACCCAAAUCCAUAUUUUCUGACCCCAAAACCUUCCUAGCGUGCCAUACACCCAUCCUAGACACUUUCCCACCAUUCUCCAUCAUCCAAAACCCAUCCAAAUCAUCUCCAUACCUUGUGCCGCAGCAAGAAGGAAGAAUGAGUGCUCUUGAAUGUGCUUGCUAGUCUAUUGCAGAUUGCUGGAACUUUUAGGUGUAAUCUUUCUUAUGUUUUCAAUAUUUCAAUUCAAUAAACUUUGUGUUGUGAGUAUGAGGAACUAAACCCCCUUAGUUGGGGGGUGAUUCGAAACCAUAUACAUGCUUGCAAUAUGAUUUGAUUACAUUCAGUUGUUAUUUCAUAAGUUGUGGAUUCAAUUCGUUCAUCUACUUGAUUGAUAACUUAUUUGUGUAUGUUGAUUGAGAGUGCACGCUUAGUUUUCAUGCAUGAAUAUGAUGCUAGAUUAUGAGGGAGUUUCACCUAAUAGUUACAAUCUUAUAAUCACAAGUAGUGAAGGUCGCUUGAAAACGAUCGCGUUGAAUGAAUUCUUGGCACGAGUUUCAUGCUCAUCAUAGUAACUGAUGUGAAAAUUAUGUUGACACUCAAAUUAACCCUCUUUUUAUCAAUUGUAGCAAAGUAUGUAAGUAGGGAUCGUUCUAAACCGGGGAUUAGGAGGGAUUGCAAAAUCACUUGAAAACGGACUCAAAUACGUAAAAACAAGUUUAAAACACUAAACUAAACUCAAAGAAUGCAAAACUAAACUUUAAAACACCAAAACAAACCAAAAGACUCAAAACAGCCCAAAAACACUCAAAACUGCCUUAAAACCACAAUCUGGGCAGUUUUGAACACUAGACUCAACCUUGGACGAAAAUUGGUUUUAUCUUGACCUAAGACACUUAAAAACAUAAACUAAAGUGAUUUCUAACUACUAUGACUCAACUAAGUAAAUGGGGAUUGAUUUUGGACGAAUUUAACUUUUAAAACAAAAACUUUAAAAACAAACUUUAAUGAAAACGAUUUUGAUGAAAUAGAAUGGGGAAAGGCUAGUUAGAAGGUUCCCUCUCCACACAUGAAACAUAUGCAUACGACUCAAUCUCCAAUUACUCUUUCAACGAACCAUGAAUGACAAUGCCCCAAAUUAACUAGAUUGACCAAUUAACUCUCAGAUUUCCCUAGAUUCAUUGAAUUGAAUGGGAUACGCAUUACAACCAAAUUAUUCUUAUCAAGGACCCUAACUAUGGAAUACGCAUGAUAGACACAUAUCAAAGAUCAUUAAGUUCAAUAGAAAUCAUAAGCAUUGACGAGGCAUUCAUAACUAUGGGAUACGCAUGUUACUCUUGCCUAUGAUUCACUUAACACAAUCGUGACUAGCGACUUUUACUACUUAAGAAUAUAAGUUAAUAACGAUUAGGUGAAAUUCCCUUAUACUCUAGCAUCAAAUUCAUGCAUGCAAACUAAGUGUCGACCCUCAAUCAACAUACAUAAACAUGUUAUCAAUCAAAUAGAUAAGUAAACCACAUUCGCGAUUCAUGAAAUCAUAAUUGGA
rnacentral:lncRNA from 1 species